rnacentral:rRNA from 1 species
UAAUACGGAGGAUCCAAGCGUUAUCCGGAUUUAUUGGGUUUAAAGGGUGCGUAGGCGGCUUAUUAAGUCAGGGGUGAAAGACGGUGGCUCAACCAUCGCAGUGCCUUUGAUACUGAUGAGCUUGAAUACACUUGAGGUAGGCGGAAUGUGACAAGUAGCGGUGAAAUGCAUAGAUAUGUCACAGAACACCAAUUGCGAAGGCAGCUUACUAAGGUGCAAUUGACGCUGAGGCACGAAAGCGUGGGGAUCAAACAGGAUUAGAUACCCUGGUAGUCCACGCCCUAAACGAUGAAUACUCGAUGUUAGCGAUAUACAGUUAGCGUCUAAGCGAAAGCGUUAAGUAUUCCACCUGGGGAGUACGCCCGCAAGGGUG